CUCUCUCAAAACUUUAACCGCGUGAGAGGCGUUGGCAAGGGAAAACCGCCCGGUGCAUAGUAAUGUCACUGUCUGGGGAGUGCUUGAUGCUCCGACCCUCGCUAGGGUGGGGUGCUUUAUAAAUAGAUGCGUGUUGGUUGUUGGUUUUUUUUGUUUCCCCAGUGGCGUGCCCCAAGCGUUUGCGUGGUGAUGGGAGAGAAGACUGUUUAUAGCCAUUAUUAAUUAAACUCUGAAUCGGCCAAGGAAAUGGGGGAGGGAGUAGCUGCUGCUACCUCAGCCAGGCCCAAAAUCCUCUGUUCACCCUUCCCCCCUGCUCAGCCCCGAGGGGCUGCCUUGCCACCCCCCACCCUUCGGUCAAGCCGCCUGCAAUGCAGGGGCUGCGCAGCGUGGCCAGACCACCUUCGGCCCUGGGGGAGGUGGGGGGGGUAACAGCUCCUAGCAGCAGCAUCCCACAUCAGGUUCGAACCCGCUCCGCCCCCCUUCCUAUUUCCCUCCUUUUCUCAGCCCCGACCCGGUACCGGCUGCUGCCGCCGGGGAUGGCGCCUGCCUCCUCACCAGGGCUACCGAGGAGCCCUCACCCCCUCUGGGACUGCCCCCUCCCGCCGCGUCCGCCCCCACAUGUUUACAGGCCCCAUGGCCCAGGCGGCGGUGGACGCGGCCCCCUCCAGCCCCGCCGCCACCCCCCACCCGCCUCAUCCCGGCCCGCCGGAGACCCCGCACUGCGCAGUGGUACUUACCCCCCGGCCGCGGUGGACGGCGCAGGCUGUGGCGGGCAGGGCCGCGCUCCCGAAGCUCAACAAAGAUGGUUUUCCAAGUCUCUCUUCAUCUUGGGGCUCCUCCAAUGCACUGUCUCCAGUAUGUUGAAGAAUCUACUUACCCAGAAAAGGUACCAGGAGAAUUGCUUAAAUAACUUUGAUUUACAUACUUGUAGCUAGUAUUUUGCCAGUUGCUGUGACAUAUAACAUGAUUUUUAACCUCAUUAGAAAACUCAGCUAUGCAAAAUAAAACAUUACUAUGUUUUGCAACUCUCCUGAACCUCUUUGUGUUGACACCUGUGCUACCAUACACAGAAAACCGUAUGGAUCCUCAACAAAGGCUGCUUUCACUGAGGCUUAAUGUCAAGUAAAAGUUGGCUUCAGAAAGCGGAAUAGGUGAAAUGCUUCUCAAAACACAUACACAUCUUGGGUUUGUGUUCCUGUAGAUUUUAAACAAAACUUCUUGCAGCAUACCAUCCUACACACCUUGAAGAAGAAUAGGGCUUUCCUGACAGACCUAUAUCUCCUGUCCUGGGCAGUGCAGGAGACUUGCUUAGAUGCUGGUAGUAUUGAGAACGGUCUUAGAGCUGCCUUUUGUUGGUUUUAGUAUCAGAAAGAGACUGUUAGGGUACCAGGUGCACCAAACUUUCCCUCUCCCAAUAUCAGCAUGUCCUACCCUUCAGCCAAUUAAGAAAGCACUAGGCUCUAAUUUACCUUUCUGACACUUGGGAUUUUCUGAGAUGAAUAAUUAGAUCAGCUUUCUGUUUUAUUGACCUUCAGAUCAUCUAGUUCCAACC